rnacentral:lncRNA from 1 species
CUGGCUGUCAUAGCUUCAUUUGUGCCAGAAUUUGGUGUAUUUGCCUCAUUUGUGGGGAGUACCUUGUGUGCAAUGCUUUCUUUUGUUUUGCCAGCCACAUUUCACCUAAAAUUAUUUGGCUCUUCUCUAUGCCUCUGGCAAAAGGUCCUUGAUUAUAUUGUGUUAAUCAGUGGAUUAUUUUUUGCUGUUUAUGGAACUUACAACACAAUUGUUGGAAUUUGAUGCAUAUAUUGUAGAGAUACAUUUAUUUACUCCUGUUUAAGCUUUUAUACAACUCAAACAGUGAUUUUAUGUAUCAUAAAUAAGUGUCAGUUAAUGAAAGUGGCUUAUUUUAUAAUUCAGAAUGCUUAAGCAAGUUCUGUUCCUAUUUACAUUUUUUAAAAGAUCAUCAGAGAAUUUACCUUCAAAUUUAUAUGCACCAUUUUUUUUUCUUCAUAAUUACAUCUGACCACCACAACUUUGACAAAAACUAUACUUUGAAACUUCAACAAAAUCAUGGUACCACUGUGAUUUCGCCGUCACACGAAGUUGAGAUUGAAAAUUGUAUGAUGGAAGUACUUACUGUAGCAAAUCCAAGUCUCAUUUACUAUUUAACUUCUUUAGGCUGUGAAACUUGCUUUACAGGACCAAGAUGAUUUGGUCUGACACAGUAAUCGCCGCCAGAUUGCUUUUAUCAUGUGUGGGACAUCACAUCAAUACUAAACUUGGACACACCCGUAAAGCAUGUCCCUUGCAAUGAUCCUAACUGAAUCGGUGAAUCUUUAUCUACUAAAGUUGUCCUCACAUAACGCCAUGGAGUCCUUUUCUUCAACUGUUUCAUUAUUAUUGUUGUAUAGUAGUACAUGUUCAUCAAUCUUUGUAAUUCAGUAAUUCUGCUAUCCACUCCAUUCGUGGAUAAGAUAGUACUCC